GACACAGUUCCGACUUUCUUCGUUUUGGAGUUCUCUAAUCAGCACAUGCGCAACAGUUACACUGGGUGUCUUCAUAAGCGUUGCAACAGGGGAACACAAAAAGCCAACCGCUCAAUCGAAGCACUUAAACCAGUCGUCCAUUCUUUUAUGGAAAAAGCUGGGGCUUUCGCGCCCCGACACACCAAUUGCGAUGGAGAACGUGCAAAAAGAAUCCGCUGAAGCUACCGCCAGCCUUCUGGACGCUAAAGAAGUUUCCAAGGCGGAAACUGCAACAUGAAUUUAGUGUCGCCUGCUUCGAGUGUAACUACAAGUUUGAACUGCUAGUUAUUUAGUAAUAGCUACCACCAAAUAAAUACCGCAUGUC